rnacentral:rRNA from 1 species
GACAGAGGUGCCGAGCGUUAGGCGGAAUCACUGGGCUUAAAGCGUGUGUAGGCGGAUGCCUAAGUACCUUGUGAAAUCCCACGGCUUAACCGUGGAACUGCUUGGUAUACUGGGUGUCUUGAGCCACUUAGGGGCGACCGGAACAAACGGUGGAGCGGUGAAAUGCGUAGAUAUCGUUUGGAACGCCAAUGGUGAAAACAGGUCGCUGGGAGUGCGCUGACGCUGAGACACGAAAGCCAGGGGGGCGAACGGG